rnacentral:rRNA from 1 species
UACGUAGGGUGCAAGCGUUGUCCGGAAUUAUUGGGCGUAAAGGGCUCGUAGGCGGUCCAUCGCGUCGGGAGUGAAAAGCUGGGGCUUAACCCCAGUCCUGCUUCCGAUACGGGUGGACUAGAGGUAGGCAGGGAGGAACGGAGUCUGGUGUAGCGGUGAAAUGCGUAGAUAUCGAGAGGAACACCUGCGGCGAAGGCGGGUUGCUGGGCUGAUACUGACGCUGAGGCGCGAAAGCCAGGGGAGCGAACGGG